rnacentral:rRNA from 1 species
ACAGGAUUAGAUACCCUGGUAGUCCACGCUGUAAACGAUGUCGACUUGGAGGUUGUGCCCUUGAGGCGUGGCUUCCGGAGCUAACGCGUUAAGUCGACCGCCUGGGGAGUACGGCCGCAAGGUUAAAACUCAAAUGAAUUGACGGGGGCCCGCACAAGCGGUGGAGCAUGUGGUUUAAUUCGAUGCAACGCGAAGAACCUUACCUACUCUUGACAUCCACGGAAUUCGCCAGAGAUGGCUUAGUGCCUUCGGGAACCGUGAGACAGGUGCUGCAUGGCUGUCGUCAGCUCGUGUUGUGAAAUGUUGGGUUAAGUCCCGCAACGAGCGCAACCCUUAUCCUUUGUUGCCAGCACGUAAUGGUGGGAACUCAAAGGAGACUGCCGGUGAUAAACCGGAGGAAGGUGGGGAUGACGUCAAGUCAUCAUGGCCCUUACGAGUAGGGCUACACACGUGCUACAAUGGCAUAUACAAAGAGAAGCGAACUCGCGAGAGCAAGCGGACCUCAUAAAGUAUGUCGUAGUCCGGAUUGGAGUCUGCAACUCGACUCCAUGAAGUCGGAAUCGCUAGUAAUCGUAGAUCAGAAUGCUACGGUGAAUACGUUCCCGGGCCUUGUACACACCGCCCGUCACACCAUGGGAGUGGGUUGCAAAAGAAGUAGGUAGCUUAACCUUCGGGAGGGCGUUUACCACGGUGUGAUUCAUGACUGGGGUGAAGUCGUAACAAGGUAACC